GACGAACGCUGGCGGCGUGCUUAACACAUGCAAGUCGAACGGAAAGGCCCUGCCUUUGUGGGGUGCUCGAGUGGCGAACGGGUGAGUAACACGUGAGUAACCUGCCCCUGACUUUGGGAUAACUUCAGGAAACUGGGGCUAAUACCGGAUAGGAGCUCCUGCUGCAUGGUGGGGGUUGGAAAGUUUCGGCGGUUGGGGAUGGACUCGCGGCUUAUCAGCUUGUUGGUGGGGUAGUGGCUUACCAAGGCUUUGACGGGUAGCCGGCCUGAGAGGGUGACCGGCCACAUUGGGACUGAGAUACGGCCCAGACUCCUACGGGAGGCAGCAGUGGGGAAUAUUGCACAAUGGGCGGAAGCCUGAUGCAGCAACGCCGCGUGCGGGAUGACGGCCUUCGGGUUGUAAACCGCUUUCGCCUGUGACGAAGCGUAAGUGACGGUAAUGGGUGAAGAAGCACCGGCUAACUACGUG
rnacentral:rRNA from 1 species